GCCCGGCCCGCCGGCGACCGGGAGUGCGCGCGCGCGGAGCUGGAGGCUGUGCGGGUGUGCGUGUGCCUGCGGGGAGUGUGCCGCUGUGUGUGGCUGGAAGGGGUGAGAAGCCCCGUUCAGACACAGGCUAGCACGCUGGAAGAGAAGGGUUAGCUGGCCCAGCCGUAGCGUGGGCUUCAGCAUACGUUCAGAUGUGUGACCCGUGUGCCUGCCUUGCAGCACUUGGGUCCCUCCAAAACAAGGCAGAGAAGCAGCAUGUGAAACGAGAGGACCUGAGCGAUGAGGAAAUCCUCACCUGACCAGAGGUUCCCUAGAAGAGGCCACCCGAGGAGGUCGUGCCCACCCCACAGGGAGCCUCGCCCCCAUGAUUUCAGACCCGUUCCACACACCCCUGACUUCCCCAGGGGUGACGAGGGCCAGGGCUGGGUACCCCAUGACCAUCUGGAGCUGGCCAGAUGGGAUUAUGAGCAGGGGGAGUGCGCAGAUGAGUGGUGUUUGAACGUGACCCCCGAUCAGCACUGCCUGAAGCCUCGCAUGCACAAUGCGUCCCUGCACCCGAUGGAGGAGUAUUGUCACAUGGACGCAGUGCUGGGAGACCAAGGGGCUGCCUGCUUUCCUCCAAGCUAUCGGGGCCGUGGCUGGAAACCUCGCUGGGGCCGGGGCCGGGGCCGGGGUCGGAGCCGGGGCCGUGGCAGUGGCAGCCGAGGGAAAUUCUCUUCUCAAUACCACAGCUUUGCACCCUGCAGAGGUUUGUCCUUUGGGGCAAGGGGAUCUGCUGCCAUACUAGAUGCAAGGUCCUCUGCCCACCAGCGCUGGAUUCCGGGGUCUCAGCCAUGUCUCUGCCUGGGUCCUGCCCAGCCUGGCUGUUCCAGAUGCCUCCCUUGGGAAAAGUUGCGGGGGGUGGGGGGGUCUGGAAAGAGCAGGUGCUGAGAGUGGGAGCUACAGGUCACAGUUGGCUUCUGUCCUGGGCUGGUGGAUCUGUUACAUGGGGAAGAUUUUGGAAUGGGAAGCAAGCUGGAGCCUGCUGGUAGAGAGCCUCAGCCCUUGGGAGCGGGUGACAUUUUGGGCAGAGUGACACAGGGCCUGUCUGGCCUUCCCUCACUCCAGUCCUACCCUGGUCUGUGGGGCAGGAGGAGUCUUGAUGCUAAGCCAGAUCUGCAAGCACCACCUCCCGGAUGGGCACAGAAAUAGGCCCUGUCUCCCCAGC
rnacentral:lncRNA from 1 species